rnacentral:sRNA from 1 species
UGAGCAGUACUGCGGCCUCCUCUCCUAACCUCGCUCUCGCGGCCUACCUUUACCCGCCCGCCUGCUCGGCGCCCAGAACACCUUCCACCAUGACCACCUCAGCAAGUUCCCACUUAAAUAAAGACAUCGUGGAGGCCCAUUACCGGGCCUGCUUGUAUGCUGGUGUCAAGAUUGCGGGGACUAAUGCCGAGGUCAUGCCUGCCCAGUGGGAAUUUCAGAUUGGACCUUGUGAAGGAAUCAGCAUGGGAGAUCAUCUCUGGGUGGCCCGUUUCAUCUUGCAUCGUGUGUGUGAAGACUUUGGAGUGAUAGCAACCUUUGAUCCUAAGCCCAUUCCUGGGAACUGGAAUGGUGCAGGCUGCCAUACCAACUUCAGCACCAAGGCCAUGCGGGAGGAGAAUGGUCUGAAGUACAUCGAGGAGGCCAUUGAGAAACUAAGCAAGCGGCACCAGUACCACAUCCGUGCCUAUGAUCCCAAGGGAGGCCUGGACAAUGCCCGACGUCUAACUGGAUUCCAUGAAACCUCCAACAUCAACGACUUUUCUGCUGGUGUAGCCAAUCGUAGCGCCAGCAUACGCAUUCCCCGGACUGUUGGCCAGGAGAAGAAGGGUUACUUUGAAGAUCGUCGCCCCUCUGCCAACUGUGACCCCUUUUCGGUGACAGAAGCCCUCAUCCGCACGUGUCUUCUCAAUGAAACCGGCGAUGAGCCCUUCCAGUACAAAAAUUAAGUGGACUAGACCUCCAGCUGUUGAGCCCCUCCUAGUUCUUCAUCCCACUCCAACUCUUCCCCCUCUCCCAGUUGUCCCGAUUGUAACUCAAAGGGUGGAAUAUCAAGGUCGUUUUUUUCAUUCCAUGUGCCCAGUUAAUCUUGCUUUCUUUGUUUGGCUGGGAUAGAGGGGUCAAGUUAUUAAUUUCUUCACACCUACCCUCCUUUUUU